rnacentral:misc_RNA from 1 species
AACAUCGCGCACCUGCGGGAACCUGCGGAAGGAUCAUUACAGAGUUGCAAGACUCCCUAAACCAUUGUGAACGUUACCUAAACCGUUGCUUCGGCGGGCGGCCCGGGUCCUUCCCGGCGCCCCUCGGCCCUCGCGGGCGCCCGCCGGAGGUAAACCAAACUAUUGCAUUGUAUGGCCUCUCUGAGUCUUCUGUACUGAAUAAGUCAAAACUUUCAACAACGGAUCUCAGAUCGGAAGAGC